rnacentral:lncRNA from 1 species
UUAUGUAAUGGUAAUAUAAUACCAAAGAACUUUAAUUGUGUAUCUGGAAAAAUUAUCCAACAACAGGAUCAAAAACUAGUGCUACCGAUUAUUCAAUCUGUUGCAAUCCAAAUGCAAAACAGGUAAACACAAACUGGUGCUCGUUCUAUCUUAUAACAUGAUCAUCUUAGACAAGUAAAAACUUAAUAACGAUUAUUUUGGUGCAGGCGGUGCAGAAUGAAGUCGUGCGUUUCGAGCUCUAUCAGCUUUCUCUAAGUAGUCUUGAUGUGAUGAAUGUUUUAUGAAGUACCUCGGUUCAUGAGGUACCAUGGUACACCGAAGAUGACGCCGAUGAUGGCCAUACCGGCCAUGACAUGCUUCUUCUCGCCGCUGUACAUGUAGUGCUCCAUUUUUGCCCUAAAUCCGCCAUUGUUCAUCUGGCUUCCCAUUUUUCC